UACAGAGGGGGCAAGCGUUAUUCGGAAUUAUUGGGCGUAAAGAGCGUGUAGGCGGCUUUACAGGUCCGUUGUGAAAACUCGAGGCUCAACCUCGAGACGCCGGUGGAAACCGUAAAGCUAGAGUCCGGAAGAGGAGAGUGGAAUUCCUGGUGUAGCGGUGAAAUGCGCAGAUAUCAGGAGGAACACCCGUGGCGAAGGCGGCUCUCUGGGACGGUACUGACGCUGAGACGCGAAAGCGUGGGGAGCAAACAGG
rnacentral:rRNA from 1 species